UCCCUACGGGGCGCAGCAGUGGGGGAUAUUGCACAAUGGGGGAAACCCUGAUGCAGCGACGCCGCGUGAGUGAAGAAGUAUUUCGGUACGUAAAGCUCUAUCAGCAGGGAAGAAAAUGACGGUACCUGACUAAGAAGCCCCGGCUAACUACGUGCCAGCAGCCGCGGUAAUACGUAGGGGGCAAGCGUUAUCCGGAUUUACUGGGUGUAAAGGGAGCGCAGGCGGCGCAGUAAGUCUGAUGUGAAAGCCCGGGGCUCAACCCCGGGACUGCAUUGGAAACUGUCGUGCUGGAGUGUCGGAGGGGG
rnacentral:rRNA from 1 species